rnacentral:rRNA from 1 species
UUAACACAUGCAAGUCGAGGGGAAACGGCAUUAAGUGCUUGCACUUUUUGGACGUCGACCGGCGCACGGGUGAGUAACGCGUAUCCAACCUUCCCAUGACUAAGGGAUAACCUGCCGAAAGGCAGACUAAUACCUUAUGGUCUUCACUGACGGCAUCAGAUGUGAAGUAAAGAUUUAUCGGUUAUGGAUGGGGAUGCGUCUGAUUAGCUUGUUGGCGGGGUAACGGCCCACCAAGGCAACGAUCAGUAGGGGUUCUGAGAGGAAGGUCCCCCACAUUGGAACUGAGACACGGUCCAAACUCCUACGGGAGGCAGCAGUGAGGAAUAUUGGUCAAUGGGCGAGAGCCUGAACCAGCCAAGUAGCGUGCAGGAUGACGGCCCUAUGGGUUGUAAACUGCUUUUGUAUGGGGAUAAAGUCAAUCACGUGUGAUUGUUUGCAGGUACCAUACGAAUAAGGACCGGCUAAUUCCGUGCCAGCAGCCGCGGUAAUACGGAAGGUCCGGGCGUUAUCCGGAUUUAUUGGGUUUAAAGGGAGCGUAGGCUGGAGAUUAAGUGUGUUGUGAAAUGUAGACGCUCAACGUCUGACUUGCAGCGCAUACUGGUUUCCUUGAGUACGCACAACGUUGGCGGAAUUCGUCGUGUAGCGGUGAAAUGCUUAGAUAUGACGAAGAACUCCGAUUGCGAAGGCAGCUGACGGGAGCGCAACUGACGCUGAAGCUCGAAGGUGCGGGUAUCGAACAGGAUUAGAUACCCUGGUAGUCCGCACAGUAAACGAUGGAUGCCCGCUGUUGGUACCUGGUAUCAGCGGCUAAGCGAAAGCAUUAAGCAUCCCACCUGGGGAGUACGCCGGCAACGGU